UUUUUUUUUUUUCGCCUUUUUAGGGCCGCACCCAUGGACUAUAGAGGCUCCCAGGCUAGGGGUCCAAUCGGAGCUGCUGCUGCUGGCCUACCCCACAGUCACAGCAACACGGGAUCUGAGCCGCGUCUGCGACCUGCACCACAGCUCACGACAACGCCGGAUCCUUAACCCACUGAGCGAGGCCAGGGAUCGGACCCAUGUCCUCCUGGGUGCCACUUGGGUUCGAUCCCGCUGAGCCACGACCCUUUUAACACAAAAAGUGACGCCUCGCAUGCACUUUUCUGACCCUUGCCUUUCGGUGCCACUGCGCCCGGGGGUCUGCGUCCGCCCUCCCUCAGGCUGCAGGUUGCCGGCCUCUGCUCUCGACGCGCUGCGUUUUAGGUCUGACCUUUUCACUGGCCUGGUUCCCACAGCUUCACCCAUACAAUCCAGAAAUUCUGGUUUCCGGAUUUUUGCCAAUCUGAUAGGUGAUAAAAACGACACUUUGGUGUAGCUGGAGCUUAAGGUGUACACACUGUAUGAGCCAGGAGUUCUGUUUCUAAUAGCUAUAGACACACAAUGAUGCGGCUACAAAGCUCUUCAGCACAGCAGUUCCCACCACCAAAAACCAAACCAAAACAAGCAUAAUGGUCCCUGAGAGGAGAUUAGUUUAAAUAGGACACGAUUGCCAUACAAAAGAAUACCGUAUGGGGAGUUCCCUUUGUGGCUCAGCAGAAACGAACCCGACUAGAAUCCACAAGGACAUGGGUUCGAUCCCUGGCCUUGCUCAGUGGGGGAAGGAUCCCACGUUUGUCGCUGUGAGCUGUGGUGUAGGCCGGCAGCUGAAGCUCCCAUUAAACCCCUAGCCCGGAAACUUCCAUAUGCCGUGCGUUCGGCCCUAAAAAUAAAAAAAUAAAAAAUAAAAUUAAAAAAUAAAAAAGAAAGGUGUUGCUGGUGAGAACCCAGAAGGAAAUGAGGCACAUGUCACCAGAAGCUGAAGGAAAGGUGAUGUGUAUUAAACUCUGGCAGAAAACUUGGCUGAACGUCGAGUGUUCCACUGCGGGGUGGCAAGUGCAGUUUAUAAGUGAUGAACCUGGGAGUUCCCUUUGCGGCGCAGUGGAAACGAAUCCGACUGGCAUGCAUGAGGAUGGGGGUUCAUUCCCCGGCCUCGAUCAGUGGGUUAAGGAUUGGGUGUUGCAUGAGCUGUGGCGUAGGCCACAGAUGUGGCUCGGAUCUGGCAUUGCUGUGGCUGUGGUGUAAGCCGGCAGCUGUAGCUCUGAGUCUACCCUUAGCCUGGGAAACUCCAUAUGCCGCAGGUGAGGCCCUAAAAAGAUUCCCCCCUGCCCGCCAAAAAAAGUGAGGAACCCGGAUUUUUAGGUGAGCUGUCCAAGCAAAGCGCAAAAGGUAGGACCUGUUUUUUUCUUGUUCCUUGUUGCAAAGUGCAGGAGGAAAGAGGUUAAUUGUGGAAGGAAAUGUUGGCAGAGAAGGAACCAGCACAGGUGCUCCGGGUACCCGCAGCCCGUUCAGGCGGCGGAAGCUACUGACGUGGGGAGACUCGUGUCAGGGUGCGUUCUGGAGAGAGUGCCAAGGCGUCCACUGGACACUUUUUCAAAGAACCAUUCAACAACCUCAGCACAAGCUAGGGACAGGGAGGGGUCAUCCCGAAAGGUCUCUGGAGAAGCCUCUUACCCAGCAACGUGGAUCCCUGGGACACACGUGGGAGACCCACAAGGCGCCUGAGAAUGUGGUAUCAGCAGAAGUGCUGCCAGCUGGGACAGAAGAGGACAGAGACAGGAUGAAAUGAGGGAAAGCUGCUGGAAUUCUGGGGUUCUACAGGCAGGAAAUGGGGUGACAGAGCGACUCAGCUUCAAACAUAUGCUACCUGUCAAGAAAAAGGACAAAAGACUCCAAGGGCAGAGCCUUGGGCACAAAGGCCGAGGCUGGGGGAGCUGAAGGCGUGGACAGCAGGGCGUCAGGCCACAGAGAAGUAGCCUCAAGCCCUCGGAUCUGACAGUAUUUGCGCUGCUGANNNNNNNNNNNNNNNNNNNNNNNAACCCGGAUUUUCAGCUGAGAAGUCCAAGUUUUCAACGUGGUUGGACUGACGAGCCCUUUAUUCCUUUAUUCCCCCUUUGGGACUGGGGAAGUCUCUUCUGCGCCUGUCCCACCAUCGUAUUCUGGAAGGGGGCAACUUGUUUUCGAGGUUCGCAAGUCCAGGUAGACCGUCCGCAGAGCCUUACCCAUACCUGAUCUAGGCAAUUUUUUUUCUUUUCUGUCUUUUUAGGGCCGCGCCCUCGCCCCUCCCAGGCUAGGGGUCGAAUGGGGGCUACAGCCGCCGGCCUGCACCACAGCCACAGCAACGCAGGAUCCUUAACCUACCGCGCCCCACGCGAGGCCAGGCAUCAAACCCACAUCCUCAUGGAUACGAGCUGGGUCUAUCACCGCUGAGCCACAAUGGGAACUUCCUGAUCUAGGCAAUUUAGAUGAGACUGGGGCUUCUGAGCUGAUGAGAUUUAGAUGAGAUUUGGGCCUAAGCGUUGUUGCUGCAAGGGGUUAAGCCUUUCGGAGAUGCUGAGAUGAGGCGGACGUAUUUUGCACAUGACGGACGUGAACGUUCACAGGCCAGAGGGCUGACUGUGUGGGCUGAAUAGUGGCUCCCCCAAUCCCUGUCUACCUCCAAAUCCCUAGGACCCAGGAAUGUUACAUUUUUUGGAAACAGGGUCUUUGUGUUGUAAUUAAGUUAAGAAUCUUGAGAUGAGGUCAACCUGGAUUACUCAGGGAGGCCCUAAAUCC
ensembl:lncRNA